UACGGAGGGAGCUAGCGUUGUUCGGAAUUACUGGGCGUAAAGCGCACGUAGGCGGCUUUGUAAGUUAGAGGUGAAAGCCCGGGGCUCAACCCCGGAAUGGCUUUCGAAACUGCUGAGCUAGAGUACAGAAGGGGCAACCGGAAUUCCCAGUGUAGCGGUGAAAUGCGUAGAUAUUGGGAAGAACACCUGAGGCGAAGGCGGGUUGCUGGGCUGAUACUGACGCUGAGGCGCGAAAGCCAGGGGAGCAAACGGG
rnacentral:rRNA from 1 species